GACAGGUGACAAAGUCAAAUCGAAAGGGUAGCAAUGCUGAAGAAGUCCCGAAAUUGUAUGGCGUGAAAUGGUCUGACACUUAGCAAGGCAUAUUGUUGUGCUCGUUGAGCUUGAUGUAAUGAUCUAAAAUAUAAGCAGAAGAAGGUCCCAGAAAGCACUAUAUACUAAGUAAAAGUGACUGCCAGAUUCAAAGUGAUUCAUAAAAACAAUAUUAUACUCAAUUUGCAACUUGUAGUAACCAAAUCACUCGAGAAGAGUUCUUUAUCGGCACGUUCAGUGAAUCAGUGAUAUUUGAUCGCGAUCCUUCGAGGCAUGAUUUCGUUAUGAAACUGCUAGUUUUAGAGCCGCCAACCUUGAAGACUAUAAGAGCUACUGUAUAGUCUUCGUUCUUGUUGUGCUACUUGUUGUAUGUAAGAACUGUACCUUAAAAAUCAUGCAAUGAUAAGUACAUUAAAAAAGAAAGGAAAAACUUAUUUUAUUAUAUGCUUAAAGUGUAAGAAUUUUACACUUUUAUUGACCGUUUAAGACUCUCUCGUUCUUGAUCAUCUUUUGAAAUACGAGAAAGUGAAUCUAAGAACUAAUUUAUCAUUCAAAUUAAUUCUCAUCUACAAUAGUUGUCUCCACAAAUUGCAAUAAAAUCAUUAUUAAUAACUAAGUAAUUCUAAAAAGAAUUCACCGACGGUCAAAUUCACCGACUUGGUAGUUUUAAUGUCAACCCAUUUAAACCCGGGAGGGUUAACAGCGAACCAAGCAAGAAAUGAAGAAUAUCUCGAAGAUCCACUUUGGUGAAUCGAUAACACUAGCUUCGAAAAUCUUCGAAAGAUGGGUCACGAGUGAAUCACCAAGGUAGCGCAUAGCGACGUGUCUAUUUCGAGGACCGAGGGAUACUCGGUGAGAAGUGGCAAAUGGGGUGCCGUCGUCUAUGAUUCAACGUCCGCCUCGAACCCUACCAGAAACCCGUGCGAGUUCCACACACGCUUCCCGUGUGUAUAAACUGCCAAGACGUGACGAGGAUACCCACCUGGGGCACACGUACACCCGUCGAAUGCUAUUUUCGCGGACUAGUACGAGUAAUCGUCCGAAGGACCCUGAAUGUGGGUUAACCGAGCCUCCACUCGAAGAGACCCCUUGUCUUCGGCACGAAAUGGAGGAUCGAGAUAAAUCUUAUGCGACAGGCGAACGAUGCCAGCGGUAUUUGAUACUCGUUUAACGGGUGGACGCCAAGGUGUUGCUUCACGUGGCUGUGCGAAUUUGUUUGAAUCUCGUUUACGAAUUGUGUUGAUAGUCUUUGGAGCAACAGAAAACUACGAUCGAAGGUUAUCUUAGAUGUUUUUUUUUAUUUCGAAAACCUAAGAGAGCACAGAAGUUUUUGGUCGAUGCGUAAUAUUCUUAAAUUUUAGGCUGUCCAGUUUUAAUAACUAUAGCUCUCUAUGAUUUAAUUUCGAAAUUUUCACUUCCGGGAAUAAUAAAAAUGAAAUAGUAAUUACGGUUAUAUUUUUCUCACCAAUUAACCCUUGCCAAAUUUUCCGUAGGCUUAUA